CGUGAGUGCUGUGCAGAGCUGAAGGCCAUUACAGUUUUCCUGGAUGAGCUGUCAUGGAGAGCAAAAGGAGAGACAGCACAUUGCAAACCAGAGAUCAGUGUGAGCUGAUGCACAGAGAGAGGCGUCUCCUGUUUCAGGGGCAGCAGAUGUUGUUCUGAUGCCACACCAGCCAUGCUGCAUCACCCCCCUGGGGACAGCCAGAGGUUGGCAGCACCCAGCAGAGGAUUCUCCCAGGAAAUCUGCCCUGGCACUGCCCCACAGUGCAGCUGCAGGGCAUCUGCCCUCUGCCAUCCCCACACUGAACCGAGGGAACCCUGGUAUGGCGGGCAAUGCCCAUGGAUUUCACUGAGCACCUGCUGCAAGGCAGAUCCACAAACCAGGGCUGGCUCCUGCCCAGGCCAGCAAAGCUGAACCCUUCCAAGCCAGCCCCACACGAGUGUGAGGGCUGCACUAUGCCAGAAGCACUGAAAUAUGCCUGUUCAAGAAAUUGACAGUUCCAUGGGUGAAGAACUAAGAGACUUCAUGGUGGCUGCAAAAAUCUGUGGAGGGGCCAAGGAAAAUGGUUCUGCUCUCCCACCCCCAGACGCCGGAGGGAGAGGACUCUGGGUUGCAGCAGGCACGAAAGAAAAGCUGCAAGGGUUUUCAAAAGACCCAAAGGAUGUGGGAGCCUGUGUCACACUGAAAUUCAGAGGAGAGAAAGUUUGGAAAUGCUCCUUCUCUUUAUAGAUGUAAUCUUUUUGAAACACUGAUGCUUCCCUCAGAGGAAAAAUUCUGCCUUUAUGAGUUUCUAUUCAUUGAUCCCGCACCUCAAGCUGGAAUUCUGAGUGAAAGACAACAUUCCCUGACAAUGGAAGUCAGAGCUGGUUUAUAAGGGGUAAACUUGUCACAGUUUUGGAGACAGGCAAGUUACAAGAACACGCCAAGUUCACACAGCAACAGCUGAGGUUUAUUGUUGGACAUCCCCUUUUAUAGGGGCUUCAAAUUUCCCACCCUUACAGACAUGAUUGGAUGAGGCUGUGAGCUCCACCCAGCUCACUGGCUGUCACCAUCAUAUUUUCUGAAAAAUCCUCUUUGCCCAGGAGUUCUCUCCUGGGAAGCUGAGAAGCCUCGGAGAAAAAGGAAGACAAUAUUAUCUCAUUUGCUUCUCCUGUGUUUUGCUGCUCUGGAAUGUGGUUGGAGAUUGUUUCUCCAACAUGUGAAUUGUUUUGACUUAAUGACCAAUCAUGGUCAGGCUGUGUCAGUCUCUGAGGAGAGUCAUGAGUUUUUAACUAUUAUCUUUCAGCCUCCUGUCUGUAUCCUUUCUCUAUUCUUUAGUAUAGUUUUAUAUUAGCAUUCUUUAAUAAAUAUAAAGCAUUCUUUAAUAAAUAUAAUAUCAUAAAAUAAUA